ACAAGCCACAAGCAUUUGCAAUAGGAAUUCGAUGAGACAAAAGUCGACAAUAACUAAGAUUUAAUAAUAAUAGCACGUCGACUAUACACCUCAUGAUCAUUAUUUUAGAUUCAACGACUAAAUUCAAUAAGAAUUUAUAUGAUUUGGUAUAUCUCAACCAAACUCAAAUCAUUUCUCCCAUCCCUCGCAAUUUCGUCCAUGCAAGAAAUAUUUCAUUAAUGGUUUUUUCAGAGGUUGCUUCACUCACCUACCUAUGUCAAGAAAGCUCCUCAAACAAAUUCUACUCUAGCCUUUUUUGGGCAAAAAAUUCUCUCGAGAUUUUUGCUAGUUGAAUUUCUAAUGAGGUCUUCUGCAAGCCCGUAUAUGGCGGAACAAAUACCCGAGACUUGUUAAGCACGGGUCGAAACUCCAACCGCGCUUCUAGGCUACUAUAAUUACAAUUCUGCUUUUGAUUCCUCGUCUUCUGAUGAAACGUCGCCGACUUUGUCCUGCGUUUGGAGAGGAGAAGGUGCUGCAUGUUCUUGGAGUUCGACAUUCUCUCCUAAAAUUUUAGCAGUGAAUUGUCUAGCUUCUAAAUCAAGAUCCGGCCAUUCGGCAACUAUUCUUUUAGCUCCCUAAACACAGAAACGUGAAGCAAAGAUAAGCCAUCAAUUCGUUGACAAGCCACAAGCAUUUGCAAUAGGAAUUCGAUGAGACAAAAGUCGACAAUAACUAAGAUUUAAUAAUAAUAGCACGUCGACUAUACACCUCAUGAUCAUUAUUUUAGAUUCAACGACUAAAUUCAAUAAGAAUUUAUAUGAUUUGGUAUAUCUCAACCAAACUCAAAUCAUUUCUCCCAUCCCUCGCAAUUUCGUCCAUGCAAGAAAUAUUUCAUUAAUGGUUUUUUCAGAGGUUGCUUCACUCACCUACCUAUGUCAAGAAAGCUCCUCAAACAAAUUCUACUCUAGCCUUUUUUGGGCAAAAAAUUCUCUCGAGAUUUUUGCUAGUUGAAUUUCUAAUGAGGUCUUCUGCAAGCCCGUAUAUGGCGGAACAAAUACCCGAGACUUGUUAAGCACGGGUCGAAACUCCAACCGCGCUUCUAGGCUACUAUAAUUACAAUUCUGCUUUUGAUUCCUCGUCUUCUGAUGAAACGUCGCCGACUUUGUCCUGCGUUUGGAGAGGAGAAGGUGCUGCAUGUUCUUGGAGUUCGACAUUCUCUCCUAAAAUUUUAGCAGUGAAUUGUCUAGCUUCUAAAUCAAGAUCCGGCCAUUCGGCAACUAUUCUUUUAGCUCCCUAAACACAGAAACGUGAAGCAAAGAUAAGCCAUGAUGAUG
rnacentral:lncRNA from 1 species